GACGAACGCUGGCGGCGUGCCUAAUACAUGCAAGUCGAACGCUUUUUCUUUCACCGGAGCUUGCUCCACCGAAAGAAAAAGAGUGGCGAACGGGUGAGUAACACGUGGGUAACCUGCCCAUCAGAAGGGGAUAACACUUGGAAACAGGUGCUAAUACCGUAUAACACUAUUUUCCGCAUGGAAGAAAGUUGAAAGGCGCUAUUGCGUCACUGAUGGAUGGACCCGCGGUGCAUUAGCUAGUUGGUGAGGUAACGGCUCACCAAGGCAACGAUGAAUAGCCGACCUGAGAGGGUGAUCGGCCACACUGGGACUGAGACACGGCCCAGACUCCUACGGGAGGUAGCAGUAGGGAAUCUUCGGCAAUGGACGAAAGUCUGACCGAGCAACGCCGCGUGAGUGAAGAAGGUUUUCGGAUCGUAAAACUCUGUUGUUAGAGAAGAACAAGGAUGAGAGUAAAACGUUCAUCCCUUGACGGUAUCUAACCAGAAAGCCACGGCUAACUACGUGCCAGCAGCCGCCGUAA
rnacentral:rRNA from 1 species